CUGGGAGGACCAUCUCCUAAGGCUAAAUACUCUCUAGUGACCGAUAGUGAACCAGUACCGUGAGGGAAAGGUGAAAAGCACCCCGGAAGGGGAGUGAAAUAGAACCUGAAACCGUGUGCUUACAAGUAGUCAGAGCCCGUUAAUGGGUGAUGGCGUGCCUUUUGUAGAAUGAACCGGCGAGUUACGAUUUGAUGCAAGGUUAAGCAGUAAAUGUGGAGCCGUAGCGAAAGCGAGUCUGAAUAGGGCGUUUAGUAUUUGGUCGUAGACCCGAAACCAGGUGAUCUACCCUUGGUCAGGUUGAAGUUCAGGUAACACUGAAUGGAGGACCGAACCGACUUACGUUGAAAAGUGAGCGGAUGAACUGAGGGUAGCGGAGAAAUUCCAAUCGAACCUGGAGAUAGCUGGUUCUCUCCGAAAUAGCUUUAGGGCUAGCCUCAAGUGAUGAUUAUUGGAGGUAGAGCACUGUUUGGACGAGGGGCCCCUCUCGGGUUACCGAAUUCAGACAAACUCCGAAUGCCAAUUAAUUUAACUUGGGAGUCAGAACAUGGGUGAUAAGGUCCGUGUUCGAAAGGGAAACAGCCCAGACCACCAGCUAAGGUCCCAAAAUAUAUGUUAAGUGGAAAAGGAUGUGGCGUUGCCCAGACAACUAGGAUGUUGGCUUAGAAGCAGCCAUCAUUUAAAGAGUGCGUAAUAGCUCACUAGUCGAGUGACACUGCGCCGAAAAUGUACCGGGGCUAAACAUAUUACCGAAGCUGUGGAUUGUCCUUUGGACAAUGGUAGGAGAGCGUUCUAAGGGCGUUGAAGCAUGAUCGUAAGGACAUGUGGAGCGCUUAGAAGUGAGAAUGCCGGUGUGAGUAGCGAAAGACGGGUGAGAAUCCCGUCCACCGAUUG
rnacentral:rRNA from 1 species